rnacentral:rRNA from 1 species
GAUGAACGCUGGCGGCGUGCCUAAUACAUGCAAGUAGAACGCUGAAGGAAGGAGCUUGCUCUUUCCGGAUGAGUUGCGAACGGGUGAGUAACGCGUAGGUAACCUGCCUGGUAGCGGGGGAUAACUAUUGGAAACGAUAGCUAAUACUGCAUAACAGUAGAUGUUGCAUGAUAUCUACUUAAAAGGUGCAAUUGCACCACUACCAGAUGGACCUGCGUUGUAUUAGCUAGUUGGUGAGGUAACGGCUCACCAAGGCGACGAUACAUAGCCGACCUGAGAGGGUGAUCUGCCACACUGGGACUGAGACACGGCCCAGACUCCUACGGGAGGCAGCAGUAGGGAAUCUUCGGCAAUGGACGGAAGUCUGACCGAGCAACGCCGCGUGAGUGAAGAAGGUUUUCGGAUCGUAAAGCUCGGUUGUAAGAGAAGAACGAGUGUGAGAGUGGAAAGUUCACACUGUGACGGUAUCUUACCAGAAAGGGACGGCUAACUACGUG